rnacentral:misc_RNA from 1 species
AUUGGUGUACGACUAUCUAUUUGUGGAGGUGAUGAUUGUAUGGUGAUCGACAAUUAGAGAUGACAAAGCACUUUGAUUAAUCUUGAAAUAACACUAAAAGUUUUAUCCAUAUACUUUAAUGGAAUGACGCACAUUUUUGUCGAUUGAUUUAAACAAAAGUUCAAAACAUUCGAAUGCAAAAUUUUAUGUUUAUUUCUGUGUUCAUGUAGAAACAAGUAUUUAGUACGCAUUCAUAUAUUUUCCAUUUACAUUAUAUAAUGAUAAUAUAUUAAACAUAUUAUGUUUUGUCGUAUUCUUGUAAGUUUUACAAGGUUGUUAAAUGAGUUUCAAUAAAUAAAAGGUUACAAUAUUU